UUUAAUAGAGUAUUUGAUCUUUUUUGUUUUUGAAAAUUCUGUUGCUCAUAGUUAAAAUGAAAUACCAAAUCAAAAAAUAUCAUUUAUUAUUCGUUAAUCUUCAUACACUACACAACACUUAAGCUAAGAUACUCUUACUCAUUAGUCAACACAUAAAUUAAGUAAUUCAAUACGCAGCACUUGAAAUUAUAAAGUAUCGAUAAGAGAAGGGAGAAAAUAGAAAAUCGAUAUUAAAUCGAUGUGUUAUCGACGGUAGAAGGAACAUUGAUAAAUAAAAGCGUUCGCAUUUUCUCAAUCUCUGAAAGCCCCAAAAAAAAAAAGAA